UNGUUGGCCAUGGCUCUUUGAUAGCAGUU
rnacentral:piRNA from 1 species